AGUAGGGCGGGACACGUGAAAUCCUGUCUGAACAUGGGGGGACCACCCUCCAAGCCUAAGUACUCCUUGUCGACCGAUAGCGAACAAGUACCGUGAGGGAAAGGUGAAAAGCACCCCGAUGAGGGGAGUGAAAUAGACCUGAAACCGGAUGCCUACAAGCAGUCGGAGCCUCCUUGAGGGGUGACGGCGUACCUUUUGUAUAAUGGGUCAUCGACUUAGUCUGACUAGCAAGCUUAAGCCGUUAGGUGUAGGCGCAGCGAAAGCGAGUCUUAAUAGGGCGA
rnacentral:rRNA from 1 species